UACGUAGGGGGCAAGCGUUGUCCGGAAUCAUUGGGCGUAAAGAGCGUGUAGGCGGCCAGAAAAGUCCGCUGUGAAAACUCGAGGCUCAACUUCGAGCUGUCGGUGGAAACUUUCUGGCUAGAGUCCGGAAGAGGAGAAUGGAAUUCCUGGGUGUAGCGGUGAAAUGCGUAGAUAUCAGGAGGAACACCCAUGGCGAAGGCAGCUCUCUGGCCUAUAACUGACGCUGAGGUGCGAAAGCGUGGGGAGCAAACGGG
rnacentral:rRNA from 1 species